UACGAAGGGGGCUAGCGUUGCUCGGAAUCACUGGGCGUAAAGCGCACGUAGGCGGAUCGUUAAGUCAGGGGUGAAAUCCUGGAGCUCAACUCCAGAACUGCCUUUGAUACUGGCGACCUUGAGUUCGGGAGAGGUGAGUGGAACUGCGAGUGUAGAGGUGAAAUUCGUAGAUAUUCGCAAGAACACCAGUGGCGAAGGCGGCUGACUGGUCCGGUUCUGACGCUGAGGCGCGAAAGCGUGGGGAGCAAACAGG
rnacentral:rRNA from 1 species